UACGUAGGGCGCAAGCGUUUAUCCGGAAUUAUUGGGCGUAAAGAGCUCGUAGGCGGUUUGUCGCGUCUGCCGUGAAAGUCCGGGGCUCAACUCCGGAUCUGCGGUGGGUACGGGCAGACUAGAGUGAUGUAGGGGAGACUGGAAUUCCUGGUGUAGCGGUGAAAUGCGCAGAUAUCAGGAGGAACACCGAUGGCGAAGGCAGGUCUCUGGGCAUUAACUGACGCUGAGGAGCGAAAGCAUGGGGAGCGAACAGGA
rnacentral:rRNA from 1 species